rnacentral:rRNA from 1 species
GCGGCGCGCCUAACACAUGCAAGUCGAGCGAAGCGCUUUACUUGAAUUCUUCGGAAGGAAAGUAUUGUGACUGAGCGGCGGACGGGUGAGUAACGCGUGGGUAACCUGCCUCAUACGGGGGGAUAACAGUUAGAAAUGACUGCUAAUACCGCAUAAGACCACAGCACCGCAUGGUGCGGGGGUAAAAACUCCGGUGGUAUGAGAUGGACCCGCGUCUGAUUAGCUAGUUGGUAAGGUAAGGGCUUACCAAGGCGACGAUCAGUAGCCGACCUGAGAGGGUGAUCGGCCACAUUGGGACUGAGACACGGCCCAAACUCCUACGGGAGGCAGCAGUGGGGAAUAUUGCACAAUGGGGGAAACCCUGAUGCAGCGACGCCGCGUGAGUGAUGAAGUAUUUCGGUAUGUAAAGCUCUAUCAGCAGGGAAGAAAAUGACGGUACCUGACUAAGAAGCACCGGCUAAAUACGUGCCAGCAGCCGCGGUAAUACGUAUGGUGCAAGCGUUAUCCGGAUUUACUGGGUGUAAAGGGAGCGUAGACGGAGAGGCAAGUCUGAUGUGAAAACCCGGGGCUCAACCCCGGGACUGCAUUGGAAACUGUUUUUCUAGAGUGUCGGAGAGGCAAGUGGAAUUCCUAGUGUAGCGGUGAAAUGCGUAGAUAUUAGGAGGAACACCAGUGGCGAAGGCGGCUUGCUGGACGAUGACUGACGUUGAGGCUCGAAAGCGUGGGGAGCAAACAGGAUUAGAUACCCUGGUAGUCCACGCCGUAAACGAAGAUUAUUGGGUUCGGGGGGCAAAGCCCUUCGGUGCCCCAGCAAACGCAAAAAGUAGUCCACCUGGGGAGUACGUUCGCAAGAAUGAAACUCAAAGGAUUGACGGGGACCCCGCACAAGCGGUGGAGCAUGUGGUUUAAUUUGAAGCAACGCGAAGAACCUUACCUGCUCUUGACAUCCCCCUGACCGUCCCUUAAUCGGGGCUUUCCUUCGGGACAGGGGAGACAGGUGGUGCAUGGUUGUCGUCAGCUCGUGUCGUGAGAUGUUGGGUUAAGUCCCGCAACGAGCGCAACCCCUAUCUUUAGUAGCCAGCGGCCAGGCCGGGCACUCUAGAGAGACUGCCAGGGAUAACCUGGAGGAAGGUGGGGAUGACGUCAAAUCAUCAUGCCCCUUAUGAGCAGGGCUACACACGUGCUACAAUGGCGUAAACAAAGGGAGGCAGAGCCGCGAGGCCGAGCAAAUCUCAAAAAUAACGUCUCAGUUCGGAUUGUAGUCUGCAACUCGACUACAUGAAGCUGGAAUCGCUAGUAAUCGCGAAUCAGAAUGUCGCGGUGAAUACGUUCCCGGGUCUUGCACACAGCGCCCGUCA